GGGCCCGCACAAGCGGUGGAGCAUGUGGUUUAAUUCGAUGAUACGCGAGGAACCUUACCAGGGCUUAAAUGUAGUGGGACAGGUCUAGAGAUAGACCCUUCUUCGGACUCAUUACAAGGUGCUGCAUGGUUGUCGUCAGCUCGUGCCGUGAGGUGUCAGGUUAAGUCCUAUAACGAGCGCAACCCCUAUCUUUAGUUGCCAGCGGAUAAUGCCGGGGACUCUAAAGAAACUGCCAGCGCAAGCUGAGAGGAAGGCGGGGACGACGUCAAGUCAUCACGGCCCUUACGUCCUGGGCUACACACGUGCUACAAUGGCCGGUACAGAGGGCAGCCACACCGCAAGGUGGAGCGAAUCCUUAAAACCGGUCUCAGUUCGGAUCGGGGUCUGCAACUCGGCCCCGUGAAGCUGGAAUC
rnacentral:rRNA from 1 species